rnacentral:lncRNA from 1 species
ACUGAUUCUUUGCAUUUGAAUUAUCAUUUUAAAGUUAUAUAGUAGUUCCUAAUCGCACAAAAGGAAACAACUCACGGUGAGUAAGAUAGAUAUUUUAUUCCUAGUUGUGAUAAGUAUCACGUUUAUAUUAUAUAUGUAUGUGUGGGUGUGUGUUACGUUUAAUAUAGGGAAUCCGGAUAUUGGGUAAAGUGUUCAUAGUCCACUGAAAUCGGGCCAGACACCCUAACUUGGGGGUAGGGUGGGGGAAAUUGAUCUAAGGGUAAAAAGCUAAUAAAACUGACAGAGAUUAUUCCUGGCAUAAGAAGAAGAAGAAAACUGAGAAUAAGAGGAUAAGGAAACACAGAGAAAUUUAGUUUCGUAAUAUGGGAUCCAUUUCUAUCUUCUUUCUAAGGUUUCCUGAUACAAGGAGGAUAA